AGUGAACGCUGGCGGUAGGCCUAACACAUGCAAGUCGAACGGCAGCACAGUAAGAGCUUGCUCUUACGGGUGGCGAGUGGCGGACGGGUGAGGAAUACAUCGGAAUCUACUUUUUCGUGGGGGAUAACGUAGGGAAACUUACGCUAAUACCGCAUACGACCUACGGGUGAAAGCAGGGGAUCUUCGGACCUUGCGCGAUUGAAUGAGCCGAUGUCGGAUUAGCUAGUUGGCGGGGUAAAGGCCCACCAAGGCGACGAUCCGUAGCUGGUCUGAGAGGAUGAUCGGCCACACUGGAACUGAGACACGGUCCAGACUCCUACGGGAGGCAGCAGUGGGGAAUAUUGGACAAUGGGCGCAAGCCUGAUGCAGCCAUACCGCGUGAGUGAAGAAGGCCUUCGGAUUGUAAAACCCUUUUAUUGGGGAAGAAAAGCAGCAGGUGAAAACCCCGCUGUUCUGACGGUACCCAAAGAAUAAGCACCGGCUAACUUCGUG
rnacentral:rRNA from 1 species